UACGGAGGGUCCAAGCGUUAUCCGGAAUCAUUGGGUUUAAAGGGUCCGUAGGCGGUUUUGUAAUUCAGUGGUGAAAGCCCAUCGCUCAACGGUGGAACGGCCAUUGAUACUGCAAGACUUGAAUUAUUAGGAAGUAACUAGAAUAUGUAGUGUAGCGGUGAAAUGCGUAGAUAUCUGGAGGAACACCGGUGGCGAAGGCGGCAUCCUGGACCGACACUAACGCUGAGGCGCGAAAGCUAGGGUAGCAAACGGG
rnacentral:rRNA from 1 species